GAUGAACGCUGGCGGCGUGCCUAACACAUGCAAGUCGAACGGUAACAGGCCUUCGGGCGCUGACGAGUGGCGGACGGGUGAGUAACGCGUGGGAAUCUGCCUAGUAGUGGGGGACAACCUGGGGAAACUCAGGCUAAUACCGCAUACGCCCUACGGGGGAAAGCAGGGGAUCUUCGGACCUUGCGCUAUUAGAUGAGCCUGCGUCGGAUUAGCUUGUUGGUGGGGUAAAGGCCUACCAAGGCGACGAUCCGUAGCUGGUUUGAGAGGACGAUCAGCCACACUGGGACUGAGACACGGCCCAGACUCCUACGGGAGGCAGCAGUGGGGAAUAUUGGACAAUGGGGGCAACCCUGAUCCAGCAAUGCCGCGUGUGUGAAGAAGGCCUGCGGGUUGUAAAGCACUUUCGGAUGGGAAGAAAAGCUCAAGGCUAAUAUCCUUGAGUCUUGACGUUACUAUCAGAAGAAGCACCGGCUAACUCUGUG
rnacentral:rRNA from 1 species